rnacentral:rRNA from 1 species
AGUGAACGCUGGCGGUAGGCCUAACACAUGCAAGUCGAACGGCAGCACAGUAAGAGCUUGCUCUUACGGGUGGCGAGUGGCGUACGGGUGAGGAAUACAUCGGAAUCUACUUUUUCGUGGGGGAUAACGUAGGGAAACUUACGCUAAUACCGCAUACGACCUACGGGUGAAAGCAGGGGAUCUUCGGACCUUGCGCGAUUGAAUGAGCCGAUGUCGGAUUAGCUAGUUGGCGGGGUAAAGGCCCACCAAGGCGACGAUCCGUAGCUGGUCUGAGAGGAUGAUCAGCCACACUGGAACUGAGACACGGUCCAGACUCCUACGGGAGGCAGCAGUGGGGAAUAUUGGACAAUGGGCGCAAGCCUGAUCCAGCCAUACCGCGUGGGUGAAGAAGGCCUUCGGGUUGUAAAGCCCUUUUGUUGGGAAAGAAAAGAAGCAGGUUAAUACCCCGCUGUUCUGACGGUACCCAAAGAAUAAGCACCGGCUAACUUCGUG